rnacentral:tRNA from 10 species
GCGGAUGUGGCUCAGUUGGUAGAGCAUCACCUUGCCAAGGUGAGGGUCGCGGGUUCGAGUCCCGUCAUCCGCUCC